rnacentral:rRNA from 1 species
GAUGAACGCUGGCGGCGUGCCUAAUACAUGCAAGUCGAGCGAACAGAUGAGAAGCUUGCUUCUCUGAUGUUAGCGGCGGACGGGUGAGUAACACGUGGGUAACCUACCUAUAAGACUGGGAUAACUCCGGGAAACCGGGGCUAAUACCGGAUAAUAUUUUGAACCGCAUGGUUCAAUAGUGAAAGACGGUUUCGGCUGUCACUUAUAGAUGGACCCGCGCCGUAUUAGCUAGUUGGUAAGGUAACGGCUUACCAAGGCGACGAUACGUAGCCGACCUGAGAGGGUGAUCGGCCACACUGGAACUGAGACACGGUCCAGACUCCUACGGGAGGCAGCAGUAGGGAAUCUUCCGCAAUGGGCGAAAGCCUGACGGAGCAACGCCGCGUGAGUGAUGAAGGUCUUCGGAUCGUAAAACUCUGUUGUUAGGGAAGAACAAAUUUGUUAGUAACUGAACAAGUCUUGACGGUAUCUUAUCAGAAAGCCACGGCUAACUACGUGCCAGCCGCCGCUGUAA